rnacentral:rRNA from 1 species
AGAUUGGACGCUGGCGGCAUGCCUUACACAUGCAAGUCGAACGGUAGAGUAGCAAUACUCGAGAGUGGCGAACGGGUGAGUAAUAUAUCGGAACGUGCCCAGUCGUGGGGGGAUAACGUAGAGAAAUUUACGCUAAUACCGCAUACGAUCUAAGGAUGAAAGCGGGGGAUCGCAAGACCUCGCGCGAUUGGAGCGGCUGAUAUCAGAUUAGGUUGUUGGUGAGGUAAAAGCUCACCAAGCCGACGAUCUGUAGCUGGUUUGAGAGAACGACCAGCCACACUGGGACUGAGACACGGCCCAGACCUCCUACGGGAGCAGCAGUGGGGAAUUUUGGACAAGUGGGACGAAAGCCUGAUCCAGCAAUCGCCG